rnacentral:rRNA from 1 species
GAUGAACGCUGGCGGCGUGCCUAAUACAUGCAAGUCGAACGAACAGACGCGGAUCUUGCUCCGCGCACGUUAGCGGAGCACGGGUGAGUAACACGUGGAUCCCCUCCCUAUAAGACUGGGAUAUCUUCGGAAAACCGGAUCUAAUACCAUAUAAUAUAUUGAUCCGCAUGGUUCAAUAGUGAAAUACGGUUUUGCUGGCUGUUAUAGAUGGAUCCGGGCCUCAUUGGCUAGUUGGUGAGGUAGCGGCUUACCAAGGCAAUGCUGCGUAGCCGGCCUGGGAGGGUGACCGGCCACAUUGGGACUGAGAGACGGCGCAGACGCCUACGGGAGGCAGCAGUGGGGAACAUUGCACAAUGGGCGGAAGCCAGAUGCAGCAACGUCGCGUGCGGGAUGACGGCCUUCGGGUUGUAAACCGCUUUCGACUGUGACGAAGCGUGAGUGACGGUAAUGGGUAAAGAAGCACCGGCUAACUACGUG